GGGAAUAUAGCUCAGUGGUAGAGUGCUUGCCUAGCAUGCACAAGGUCCUGAGUUCAAGCCUCAGUACUACAA
rnacentral:tRNA from 1 species